AAUUGGCUAACCCCAGGAGAGGCAGUCACUUCCCAGCCAUGAAGGUUUUUAGGAUGCUAAAACAUCAUAAGACACAGAAAAUAAAAAAUAUAGGGCUGGGCGUGGUGGCUCAUGCCUAUAAUCCCAGCACUUUGGGAGGGCGAGGCAGGCAGAUCACCUGAGAUCAGGAGUUUGAGACCAGCCUGGCCAACAUGGUGAAACCCCAUCUCUACUAAAAAUACAAAAAUUAUCUGGGCGUGGUGGAGGCCACCUGUAGUCCCAGCUACGUAGGAGGCUGAGGCAGGAGACACUCUUGAACUCAGGAGGCAAAGGUUGCAGUGAACUGAGAUCACACCACUGCACUUGACUGGGCGACAGAGCGAGACUGUCUCAAAAAAAAGAAAAGAAAAAAUAUAAAUCAUACACACACAAAUUGCCCCCAAAACAACCAACAGCAAACAUUGAUCAUCUCACAGUUUCUGUGGGACAGGAACCUGGGUGCAGAUUGCAGAGCCCUCCAGCCCAGGAUGUCUCCCAGGGCAGCAAUCACGAGGUUGCCUGGGACCACAGGCCCCUCAAAAUCCAGCUGAGCAGGAUUCAUUGUCAGGCUCACUCGAGUGGCAGGAUUGAGUUCUUCCAGGGCUUUUGGCUUAAGGGCUUCCGUUCCCUGCCAUCUGAGCCUUUCCACGAAGCAGCUCACACUACGCAGCUGGCUUUCUCAAAGGGAGCGAGUGGGAGCAAGGGAGACGGCACCAGCAAGACAGAGUCACAGUCUGUUUUUAUUUUAAUUAAUUAAAAAAAAUUUUUUUUUGAGACAGUCUCCCUCUGUUGCCCAGGCUGGAGUGCAGUGGCGCCAUCCCGGCUCACUGCAACCUCUGCCUCCCAGGUUCAAGCGAUUCUCCUGCCUUAGCCUCCCAAGUAGCUGGGAUUACAGGCGCCCGCCAUAACGCCUGGCUAAUUUUUGUAUUUUUAGUAGAGACGGGGUUUCACCAUGUUGGCCAGACUGGUCUCGAACUCCUGACCUCAGGCGAUCCACCUGCUUUGGCCUCCCAAAGUGCUGGGAUUACAGGCAUGAGCCACUGUGCCCCGCCUAUUAAUUUUUUUAUAGUGGUCAAAUAUAUAUAACACAAAAUUUAUUAUUUUAACCAUUUUAAAGUGUACCAUGAAAAUGUACACCAUUGUACAUACACAUUCACAGUGGCGGCACUGGGCACUUUCAGAAUGUUGCACAGUCAUAAUUUCUAUGCAUUUCCAGGACUUGAUCAUGAUCCCAAAAAGAAACUCUGUACCCAUUAAACAGUAACUCCCCAUUCCCCCUUCUCCUCAGUCCCUGGUGGCCACUAUUCUACUUUCGGUCUCCAUGAAUUUGACUACAAGUAUCUCAUAUGAGUGGAAUCAUUCAAUAUUUGUCUCUUCGACUGGCUUAUUUCACUUCACAUAAGGUCCUCAAGGUUUGUCCAUAUUGUAGCAUAUGUAAGAAUUUACUUCUUUUUUUUUUUUUGACAGGGUGUUGCUCUGUCUGUCACCCAGACUGAAGUGCGGCAGUGCGAUCUCUGUUCAUUGCAGCCUGGACCUCCUGGGCUCCAGGCAUCCUCCCACCUCAGCCUCCUGAAUAGCUGGGACUAGUCAUCCUCCCACCUCAGCCUCCCGAGUAGCCAGGACUACAGGCAUGUGCCACCUCGCCCAGCUAAUUUUUAUGGAGAAGGGGUUUCACUAUGUUGGCCAGGCUGGUCUCCAACUCCUGACCUCAAGCAAUCCAUCCAUGUCA
rnacentral:lncRNA from 1 species